rnacentral:rRNA from 1 species
CCUACGGGAGGCAGCAGUGGGGAAUCUUAGACAAUGGGCGCAAGCCUGAUCUAGCCAUGCCGCGUGAUCGAUGAAGGCCUUAGGGUUGUAAAGAUCUUUCAGUGGGGAAGAUAAUGACGGUACCCACAGAAGAAGCCCCGGCUAACUCCGUGCCAGCAGCCGCGGUAAUACGGAGGGGGCUAGCGUUAUUCGGAAUUACUGGGCGUAAAGCGCACGUAGGCGGAUCGGAAAGUUGGGGGUGAAAUCCCAGGGCUCAACCCUGGAACUGCCUUCAAAACUCCCGGUCUUGAGGUCGAGAGAGGUGAGUGGAAUUCCGAGUGUAGAGGUGAAAUUCGUAGAUAUUCGGAGGAACACCAGUGGCGAAGGCGGCUCACUGGCUCGAUACUGACGCUGAGGUGCGAAAGCGUGGGGAGCAAACAGGAUUAGAUACCCGGGUAGU